rnacentral:tRNA from 1 species
GCGCAAUUAGCUCAGUGGUAGAGCACUAUGUUGACAUCGUAGGGGUCGCAAGUUCAAUCCUUGCAUUGCGCACCA